rnacentral:lncRNA from 1 species
ACUCCCAUGGCAUGUGGAAAUUCUUGGGCCAGGAAUUAAACCUGCACAACAGCAGCAACCCAAACCACUGCAGUGACGAUGCCAAUCCUUAAUCCACUGUUCCACAAGAGAAAUCUGUCAGAUAGUUUAUUUCUAUUUAUUUUUAUUUAUUUAUUUUAGGGCCACACCUGCAGCAUAUGGAAGUUCCCAAGUUAGGGGUCAAAUCGGAGCUGCAGCUGCCAGCCUACAGUGCAGCCACUGCAACGUGGGAUCCAGUCUGCACAUCUGUGACCUACACCACAGCUUACAUCAACCUUAACCCAGUGAGUGAGGCCAGGGAUUGAACCUUCAUCCUCAUGGAUGCUACUCAGGUUGGUUUACCACUGAUCCAUGAUGCCUGAUCCCAGGUGUUAUGAGGUAAAAGACAAGGCUCCCUAUUUUUUAAAUAUUUUUCUUUAUAUAUUAUGAUAUCUCAAUGUUGAGGUUUAGGGAACUACAGUCUUAAUGAGUAUAGUAUAUAGUAUAACAAUGCAAUAAUUUAAGAUAUUAGCAACAGAGGGAUGGAUAAAAAUGUGGUACAUAUAUACAAUGGAAUAUUACUCAGCCAUAAAAAUGAAAUAAUGCCAUUUAAGCUACCUGGGUGCACAUAGAGAUUAUCAUACUAAGUGAAGUCAGAGAGAGAAAGACAAAUAUAAAAUAGUAUCAUUUAUAUGUGGAACCUAAAAUAAUAAUAAAAAUGAACUUUUAUAUACAAAACAGAAACAACUCAGACUUUGAAAACAAAUUUAUGGCUACCAAAAGGGAAAGGUGAGGGGGAGGGAUAGAUUGGGGGUUUGGGAUUGGUAUAUGAAUGCUAUUGUACAUGGACUAGAUAGCCAGUGGGGACCUGCUGAACAGCACAGAGAACUCUGCUCAAUAUUCUCAAAUUUCCAUAUCCUACAUGGGAAAAGAAUCUGAAAAAGAAUGGAUAUGCCUAUAUGCAUAACUGAAUCACUUUAUUGUACAGCAGAAGUUAACACAACACUGUAAAUCAACUAUAUUUCAAUAAAAUGUUUAAAAAUGAAAAAAUAUAUUAGCAACAAUUUUGGUGACAAUUUGGUAAAAUUAUUGAUAUUAAAAUGAAUUAAUGCAUGGGAGAAGGGCAUGUAGAAUAUGAGAUCUCUCAUCCCUUUAUAAAUGUCUUAAAAGCUACUAGGGACUUAUUGUGUAGGCUAUUUAUAGAUCAUUAAAUUUUACAUAAGACCAGGAACAAAAAUGUCUUUGCUGUGAGUACCAAAAUGCUAGAUUAUUUUUUUUGGCAACUGCACUUUAAAAAUUAACUCAUGCACACAAUGCUCUCAUUUUGUGGUGAAGUUCACAUUUUUAGUGAUAUUAGUUUUCCCAUUUUUAAAGUUCACACAUUUCUAUUAUAAUAAAAUAAAAUACUAUUUUACUAAAAAAAGUUAUUUCAAAAUUAAUGCACUCUUUUUGUUUUUGUUUUGUUUUUUGUUUUUGUGCACGCCAAAGAUGAAAGAUGAAAUUGGGAAGCAUAGAAGAAGGAAGGAAAUAUUAGAAAUAUAAACUGAGCAUCACAUACAUCAGCAACACUCUGUUCUCACAAGUCAGUAGAUGUGUUCUCUCCUGAAAGUUUAUUUUAGUAAUUUAUAUAACUUCCUUUUUGGAAAAUCUCUAAACCCAAGAAGGUUAAAAUCAAUCUCUGUGUAUCAACUUGCUAACGAGCUCAUUUAGCCCUUUGUUUUUAAGUGUUUUUGUCUCUCCUUUUCCCAGUUGCUGAUGGGCAAUCAGCAAUGUUAAGCCUGCUGACUAAUUGAAACAUUUUCUAAUUUAUAUGGAUCUCUGGAGAAGAUGCAUUCUACUUAACCUUGACAUUUGUUUUACAUUACAGGAGUCUACAAGAUUACAUUAUCCAAGAUUUAAAAAUCAGCUCUCAUUCCUUUUCUAAUUUGUGUCUCAAGAUUGUUCGAUGUCCCAUUGAAAGUUAACCAAUUAAAGAUAAAGAAAAUAAUUUUCCUCUACACCUGCCAGCCAGAACCAACAAUAAUAUUUAUAACCAUAUAGUACCUUCUUCCAAAGGAGUUUAAAAUCCCUUUUAUGAGGCAGGAAAGACAGGGCUGGGUCCAAGGACAGCCUCCUCAUGUACAGGCAUUAGGCAGAAGGCAAAGCUACCUCCUUGUUCUGCACUUACUGAGGCCAUGACCCAUGGUGGAAUGGCAUCUAAAACAGAAACUUUGUAGCAUCUGAGUAAGAAACUCUGACCAUGAAAAUGGUGGAGCAUGCACAAUGCUGAUGACCCUGGUCCAAGUGCAGGGCUCAACUAGUAAGAGGAAAUUUAAGCCACAUAUGCACAGUAACUUCAGGAGGAAAGUACUUAGGACCAGAAACUGAUGCAACCUGAUGCAAUCCAGGCCACACCUCAACCCUCCCCUCAAUGAAUAUCCCACCCCUAAUUAAAAAGACCCCACCCAUUCAAAGGGAUAAAAAUAAGAUUAAAAAUAUAUGAAAAAAAACUUUGGCAUACCCCUCAUUUGCGAGGACACCUACACUCUUUGCUGAGUGUGUCCUUUGUUUUUGCCUUAAUAAAGCCCUUCUUUGUUCUCUUUGCUCUUUACCCUCUGUGUGUGUGUUCAUGUGUGUGUUCAUGUGUGUGUGUUUGUGUGUGUGUGUGUUUCCUUUGUGUUCCUUGCCCAAAUUCUUUUGGACAAGUUGAACAGCCUGGACUUUUGAUAAAGUUUUUGCAGUAUCAUUUUUUAGAUGACUAAUCAUUCAUGUUUAAAGUUCUAUAAAUCAGGGAGAAAGCUGGACAUCUAAGUAUCAAAACAGAAGCCAUGAAGUAGUGGCCUACUAUGACUAUGGGCUCCUUCAUUUAAACUGACAGCUAGAAUGUUCUUUAGAGAAACUCCAGAGCAAUUGCUGAAGACAAUGGUGACACAUGCUCAGACUCCUUCACAGGCUGGUCCACAGCUGUGUCCUUUUCCAAGAAUUGCCUUUGGUCAGAAAUAUCCAACUGGGGUGGCCCUGUGGCCAAUGGCUGAAUGAUGCAGCAUACAAAGGCCGCCCUCUUAUCCCAAAGCAAGACAACUCUGUGGUGCCAUAUACAAGUCAGAAUUUUCCAUAGAAUCAGGCCGAGGCUGAACUCCAGCCAAAUGACACCUUCAGCCCUGUCCUACUCUAUCUCCUCAUUCCUUCAUGUUCACCUGAGCAAACUUACAACAAGCCAUCGGCAUCUACACUUGAUUCUAUGGAACCUAACUUAAAACAGAAGGUUUCUAUGACCAACAUCAUUAACAUAAUACUCACAAUUCCUUCAAAGCCCAGUUUACAGGCAUUUUACGUUGUCAUCUCACUAAAUCUUCACAACAGUUUUGCAGGGCAAUCAACAUUCACUGUUUGGAACUGAGGGGUUUCCUGGGAUGUAGGACUUUCAGCGGUAAAAGCAGAAAAGAUCCAAGCAAACCAGGAAAUAUCAGUCACCCUAUCCUGUCCUUCAAGCCUCCCUUCUCCCCUUUCUGACGAACUGAAGUUAGCACAGGUGAAUAAGGAGCAAAGUCUCAGAGAAGCAUGAGUGAGACCUAAGAUCCCAACUCCACUCCAAUACGUCUGACUCCCAAGAUUAUGCCUGUCCCAAUGCACCAGGUGGGCUGACUAAAGAUGGCACUACUGACUCCAGCCUAUUUGCUAUUUAGAGCCUUCCUCUUUUAUUAAAUUAAAAGCAAACUGCUCUUUUGCUUGAUAGAUUAACUGAUUUUGAAGGCAUAAAAGUAAAAGGUAAAUUCAGGGUGCAUCAAUAUGUGCUUCAGAACCAAUAGCUUGUCUUGCCUACUAACUGGCUUGGUCUCCCUAUCUCGUUUUAAAAUAUUUUCAUUUGUUAUAUUUAAGUACAGAUUUAACAUCCACUGGGAAGAUAUCUUGAUCAAUAAUGACUUUUUGGAGAAUAGCCCUGUUGAUUUUAAAUUUACUGAAAUUGAUUGGCGUUUAGUAGGGAUGGACAAUAAGGAGAAAGCAGAAAAACAUUUUAAUAAGUGUCUCAUUUGUUAUAGAUACUAUGUUAGCUAGGUGUUUCAUUUAUUCCUUCUCAGUGAAUCCUAUAAAACCUACUUAUUAAGAAAUUGAGAUUGGACAGACAAAAAAAUGAUGUAAAGGAAGUGAAAACUGGAACCAUUUUCACAAAGCUUUGGGAAGUUAACAAGAAAAAGAUUCAUAGUAAAAUAAAUGCUCUGGGUAGCCAUUGAGCUUUAGUAGGUCAUGAAAGUGGAGAUAUAAGGCAUAAGAUAAAUGACUCUGGUAGAAAGCUUCAUGAAAACCGAAAAAGCCUAAAGCUCCUUAAGUGAUGGUAACAGUUGAAAAGAAUAGUAGUUGAAUAUGAUCUUUGUGUCUAAACUGCUGAGUCUGAAUUACAAUAUUGCUACUCAAUAAAUAUGUGAAUCUAGGUAAGUUACUUAUCAUCUCUGUGCCUUAGUGUCCUCAUCUAUAAAAUGACAACAAUACUCCACUGGAAACUAUGAAAACUAAUGACUAAAUGCAUAUAAAACACUUAGCAUGGUCCUAUGUUUACAGUAAUCAUGUAUAGAAAGUUAGCUCUAAAUAUUUCCAUAAAGACAGAUUGCUUGUGCUUUUGUACUUUAAAAGGAGUUCUCAUGUUGUCUUUAGAAUCACUAAAGUGCAUUGGAAUAUCAUCUCAGUAUCUUAUCCUUUAAAUAAUCACUAACAUAAAUAUAGCAUUUAUCAUGAAAAGGGAUUUUGUGAAGGAUUUUAUAUAGCUUUUAUUUUCCUUUAAUUUGAACAACUUUUUGAUGUAGGUGCUGUGAUCCCCAUUUUCAGGGGAGGAUGUAAAGGUUGAACGAACUUUAAUAACUUGCCCAAGUUCACAGUAUGGUUGGUAGAG